rnacentral:lncRNA from 1 species
GGUCUGGCUAUGUUGCUUAGGUUGGUCUUGAACUCCUGGGCUCAAGUGAUCCUCCUGCCUUGGCCUCCCAAAGUGCUGGGAUUAUAGGCAUGAACCACUGUGCCGGGCCCCAGUCUUUUCUAAUUACAAAGAGUAUGGUAGUGAAUGUGCUGUUCUUUUGUAUUCCUUUCAGCCUCUCUCAGCCCAUGAUCACUCACCCACCCCUGUGAAAGGGAGACAGGGCCCACAGACACAGGCAGCAGUGACUAGUGGGCAGAAGUGUGGGUCCUGGGGCAGUCCUGGGCUGCCACUUGCUGCUAUGCAACUUGGGGGAGAUUCUUAUGCUCUCUAAGGCAAUAGCACCUGGGAAUUUGCAUUUCUAACACAUUUCCAAGUGAUGCUCAUGUUGCUAGUCCAAGAAGGCACUUUGAUAACCACUGCUCUAAGCCACCCAAAGGGGUAAUUUGAUGAUUCCCAUCUCAUAGGCUUAUUGUCAGAGUUAAGGUGUAUAGCCCCUUAGCACUGUGCUAGUAUCAGACUAAGAACUUAAUCAUACAUGUCAGUGCAUAUUACUAUAUCCACCCCUCACCACAAAGAGAAAAGUGAACCAAUGCAGAGAUGAUCAACAGCGAUGCUCAGAGCCUUAAUCUGUUCUCCAGAGGUUCUGGGUGUGGUGGAGCUCCUCCCCGCAAAUCUCCUUUAAGCCCCAAGUCUUGGAAUGGCUGGGGAACUCUGCUGAGCUGUCUGCAAUCAGAAAUCUUCAUUUUUCUGGCAAUUGGAAUGUAGAAAAAUUCAGAGUAGAAGCCCAACCAGAGUUCCAGCAAUGACCACAGGGAUGGAUGUUUCUGUGAGCACCGUCCUGUGCCAGCUUGUUCCCGGGGGAAGCGCAUUGCACAAGAGGACAGAGACAGCAGGCUGGUCCCACCCCAGCUCUCACCCUUGCAGCCUUCAAAGGGUCCCUUCCAUUUUCAGAGCCUUUGUAAUUUGCUCUCAUUAACCUUGCUUUGUUCUGGGUUUGGGGGGCUGGUGGAGAACCCCUAGUCAGCCACAGCAGGCCUGGUCAUGCCCCACAGCCCUCUCCUUCCUGCCCUGGGAGGGGAAUCCUGGAAUGAAGCCUGCUGCUUUGCUCCCUUCCCACGCCAUCCUCUCUGCAGGGAGCCAGGGACCAGGGGAGCCUGCCAUGGGGGAAGCGUCUUGUAUUCCAUGCCCCAGGCCUUCCAAGGAUGACCCACCUCCAUGAUGCACUGUGUUACUCACUGGCUGUGGGACUUCUGGAGUCAUUCAAGCACUGUGUAAAAUGGAAAUAACAUCACAGCAGAUAAGGAGCGUUCAGUGAGACGAUACAUGCAGAAUGCUUAGCGCCAUGCCAGGCCCACGACAUCUAAAUAUUGAUAGAGUUUCUGCCACAUCCCUGACAUGACAGCCAUUGAAACCAAAAAGACUGAGAGGGUCCCAGGACUAAGGAGGGGAAGUCAGUGAGUAAUCACAUAAGUUAGUAUGUAAUUACAAUUUAGAAGUGUGUUCUAGAUGGCAUGACAGAGGGAGGAGAGAGCUUGGAUGUCUUAAGCUACAGCGUUCUGUAGACCUCGUUUGGCCCCUGAGACUGCACAUGAGGUAUGUUCCACAACAGGACAAAAUCGAUGCUCCAGGACCUCCAUCCCUAGUGUGCUCGGAUGAGUUUGGAUGCAGAGGGUAGUGUGGGGUGGGGAGGUGCGGGAGGGCCAUUCUCAGCUACAGCAGCUACACACAGGACCCGCUGAGUGACUUUGAUGAGUCACAUGGCCUCUCUGAUCUGUUUAGCUUAUUUAAUAGGGGCAAAAAAAAAAAAAAAAAAAAGACUUUUCCCUGUCCUAGGAAAGUCCUCUCACUGAGAGAGUUGUUCACAUGUGCCUGCACUUAUUCCUGAAAGAUUCCUGCACGCCUUCCCCAUUCUCUGCUUUGGGGGAACAAUGAACCCAUGGACUUGGCUCUUGAGCGGUUCAUAAUACUAGCCAGCAUUUAUUGAGCUGUUACUAUGUGUCAGGCACUUUACCCAUAUUAAGUCAUUUUAUUGUCACAAGAGCCUUAUGAGGACAGUUAUUACUAUCUACAUUUUAUAGGCAAGAAAAUUGAGGCAUGAAGAGGUUUAACAAUAUGCCCAAAGUCCCCAACAAUUUGGCUUCCACCAUUAUACUAAGGUUUUCAUGGAGUGGUCUGGGGAUCCCUGUCGGGACGGUCUCAUAACCCUUGUACAUGGUCCAUGAGGUCAAAAUAUUUUUCAUGAUAGUUACCAAGAACACAUUUACCGUAUUGCUCUCAUGCUCUCCCGAGUGCUCAGUGGCAUUUUCCAGAGGCUGCAUCCUUAUGAUAUCAUAAUAAGCAGCUAGGAGAAUCCAGGUGUCUGUUUAAGACAUUUGCAAACAUGUAAAACAACGCCACACUUACGAUUUUUUUUACUUCGAAAGUAUUGUUCAGGACGUGGUGGUGUGCACCUGUAGCCCCAUCCACUCGAGAGGCUGAGGUGGGAGGAUGGCUCAGGCCCAGGAGGUCAAGGCUGCAGUGAGCUAUGAUUGUGCCACCACACUCCAGCCUGGGUGACAGAGUCAGACCCUGUCUCCAAAAAGAAAAAGAAAAUACUAUGAUUAUGUGAAACAUGUAGUGGGC